rnacentral:rRNA from 1 species
UACGUAGGUGGCAAGCGUUAUCCGGAUUUAUUGGGUGUAAAGGGCGUGUAGGCGGGAGCGCAAGUCAGAUGUGAAAACUCAGGGCUCAACCCAUGGCCUGCAUUUGAAACUGUAGUUCUUGAGUGAUGGAGAGGCAGGCGGAAUUCCGUGUGUAGCGGUGAAAUGCGUAGAUAUACGGAGGAACACCAGUGGCGAAGGCGGCCUGCUGGACAUUAACUGACACUGAGGCGCGAAAGCGUGGGGAGCAAACAGG